rnacentral:tRNA from 1 species
GCGUACUUAGCUCAGUGGUUAGAGCCUCCGCCUAGUGUUUGGAGGUCGUGGGUUCAAAUCCUGCAGUGUGCA